rnacentral:lncRNA from 1 species
CCUCCUAGCUCCUCUCUAGCGGCUCCUUCCUUUACAAAUGCACCCCCGACCCUGCUUCACGAGCAAAGUCCUGCCUCAUCUGCUUCCUUUGCUUCACUGUCAACUUGUCAAAGUGCCUGGGACAGUGCCCUGAAGAGUGUGCGUGAUGGGGAUGACCUCACAUUCAGACCAAGGCAAAAACCAGAUAAACCCCUCCCUCCCAGGGGGCCAGGGAGAUGGCUGAAGCAGGGCUCCUAG